AAAGCCUUCGGGUGAGUACAGCGGCGGACGGGUGAGUAACACGUAGGAAUUUGCCCAGUAGUGGGGGAUAACGUUUCGAAAGGAACGCUAAUACCGCAUACGCCCUACGGGGGAAAGGGGGCUUCGGCUCUCGCUAUUGGAGAAGCCUGCGUCGGAUUAGCUAGUUGGUGGGGUAAAGGCCUACCAAGGCGACGAUCCGUAGCUGGUCUGAGAGGAUGAUCAGCCACAUCGGGACUGAGACACGGCCCGA
rnacentral:rRNA from 1 species